ensembl:lncRNA
CUUUGGAAUCUAACAAACCUGCUCUCAAAUCUGGCUUCAACUAUUUACUUUUUGGUGAGUUUGGGCAAGUUGAUUACCCUUGAUAAGCCACGUUUUCUCAUGUGAAAUAUGUGUAUGAAUAGCCUUGCACAAUGCUGGGCACAUGGUACUAGGCACUUCUGACAAUGGUCCCAUCCUCAGCUGCAGCACAAGUGGAGUUCUGACCCAGAGCUGUAGGAUGUAGUCAGCAGACAUCAAACAGUGAAGAAGCAUGUGAUGACUAAGAGCAUGGAUCAGCUCAGGACCUGGACAUCGUUACUCACUGUAAAUGUGACUCCAGGAUCCUGAGAGAAAGGACUGCUCAUGAGACCAGACCCACCCUCAGGCUAUUUGGAGCAAAUGUUCCACACGGACAGACAGAUACAUUUGCAUUACUUCUGGUUAAAUUUCAUAGAGUGAAUUGAACCCUUUCAACUAAUAUUUGUGUUCCCUCCAGAAGAUUCUAGUGAACAAACACCUCCAGAUUGUGCCGAGGCAGCUAGACAGCUUGGACAUCUGAGUUAAAAUGCUGGCAGGGUUUGCAAGCCAAGCAAGCUCUUCCAAAGGGGUCCUACAUAAGGCCUUCCCUUGCUCAAGGGGGCUGCUCUCAUUUAUCAGCAAACAUGGGAGGGGCCGAGAAGUCUUUAUAAACAACUUAGUGCUGUACAAAUAUAGAGAGGCUUCAUCUUCCACAAAGGUGAGGAUCCUGGCUCAUUCUGGAAGUUAUACAGGAGGGCGCUAAAUGUUUUACAGUCUGGCCACAUCUCCACGGCCUUCUUGAUUCCUUAAAGAUCCUACCUACUGCCAUCCUCUGGUGUGAUAUCAAGAUCUUUAGGGCUGAUUCCAGGCCAUUCAUUCAUUGCUGAUCCCUGCAGUGUUACGACAAAGGGACACCCAGUAGGAGCUUCAGUGAGUAAAAUGUCUUUGCUGGGUAAUUAAAUAUGAAAAGUCCUGGCACACAGUGGGUAAUAAGUGAGUACAAGAUGAACCUGAGGAUUCACUUGCUGAUGGAACCCUUGCAUUUUGAGUUAUAAAGGGCCAUUUAUACAUUAAGGGGUAACCUCGACCAAAAAGGGGGCGGGCCAGAAGAGAAAAGAAGAGGCCAGAAUAAUGAGCCCAACCUUGUAGUUCUCUCCUAAUAAGGCAGAGGCCCCAGGAGGCAAGAAGAGCAGGAGAAAGAGCUUGCCUAGUGUUUGGGAGAGAAAAGCUUCAGUGCCAAUAAUUAUCCUCUAGAGGCUGAAUGUCCCCGUCUAACUGAGGGCACCACGAAAGCAUCUCCCAGACUUUCUCCAAGUACAGAGGGGACACUUUGGUUUCAAGUUACACACUUUAAGGCUUUCAGUCAUCAGGAUUCUAACUCUUUUUAUGGCUUCAGAAAAUACUGCCUUCCAAUUUAGUUUUCCCAAGGACAGAGCAAUUCUCUUACUACCUCUUCCUAUCAGUGGUAAGAGAGUAGACUUAUCUACAAGGGAAAUAGAGUUUAGAAACAUGGAAUGCAUCUGUGCACGCACGCGUGUGCAUGGGCACACACACACAUAUAAAC